UAGACGGAAGCCUAUUGGUUUGGGGCGUCUAGCUGUUAACUAGAAUUUUGUGGGAUCAAGGCCCAUUCGUCUAG
rnacentral:tRNA from 1 species